UAUCGAAUGUCACGUUGCGAUGUGAUC
rnacentral:piRNA from 1 species